GCGGGAUUAGUUUAGUGGCAGAAUGCGAACCUUCCAAGUUCGAUGCGCCGGUUCGAUUCCGGCAUCCCGCACAA
rnacentral:tRNA from 1 species